rnacentral:rRNA from 1 species
GAUGAACGCUGGCGGCGUGCCUAAUACAUGCAAGUCGAGCGAACAGACGAGGAGCUUGCUCCUCUGACGUUAGCGGCGGACGGGUGAGUAACACGUGGAUAACCUACCUAUAAGACUGGGAUAACUUCGGGAAACCGGAGCUAAUACCGGAUAAUAUAUUGAACCGCAUGGUUCAAUAGUGAAAGACGGUUUUGCUGUCACUUAUAGAUGGAUCCGCGCCGCAUUAGCUAGUUGGUAAGGUAACGGCUUACCAAGGCAACGAUGCGUAGACGACCUGAGAGGGUGAUCGGCCACACUGGAACUGAGACGCGGUCCAGACGCCUACGGGAGGCAGCAGUAGGGAAUCUUCCGCAAUGGGCGAAAGCUUGACGGAGCAACGCCGCGUGAGUGAUGAAGGUCUUCGGAUCGUAAAACUCUGUUAUUAGGGAAGAACAAAUGUGUAAGUAACUAUGCACGUCUUGACGGUACCUAAUCAGAAAGCCACGGCUAACUACGUG